GACGAACGCUGGCGGCGUGCCUAAUACAUGCAAGUUGAGCGCUGAAGGUUGGUACUUGUACCAACUGGAUGAGCAGCGAACGGGUGAGUAACGCGUGGGGAAUCUGCCUUUGAGCGGGGGACAACAUUUGGAAACGAAUGCUAAUACCGCAUAAAAACUUUAAACACAAGUUUUAAGUUUGAAAGAUGCAAUUGCAUCACUCAAAGAUGAUCCCGCGUUGUAUUAGCUAGUUGGUGAGGUAAAGGCUCACCAAGGCGAUGAUACAUAGCCGACCUGAGAGGGUGAUCGGCCACAUUGGGACUGAGACCCGGCCCAAACUCCUACGGGAGGCAGCCGUAGGGCAUCUUCGGCCAUGGACGAAAGUCUGACCGCGCAACGCCGCGUGAGUGAAGAAGGGUUUCGGAUCGUAAAACUCUGUUGGUAGAGAAGAACGUUGGUGAGAGUGGAAAGCUCAUCAAGUGACGGUAACUACCCAGAAAGGGACGGCUAACUACGUG
rnacentral:rRNA from 1 species